rnacentral:rRNA from 1 species
AGAGUUUGAUCCUGGCUCAGGAUGAACGCUAGCGGGAGGCCUAACACAUGCAAGUCGAGCGGGAUUUUCCUUCGGGGAUUGAGAGCGGCGCACGGGUGAGUAACGCGUAUGCAACCUACCUUUUACAGGGGGAUAGCCCAGAGAAAUUUGGAUUAAUACCUCAUAGUACUUAGAUAUCGCAUGAUAUUUAAGUUAAAGUUCCGGCGGUAAAAGAUGGGCAUGCGUGACAUUAGUUUGUUGGCGGGGUAACGGCCCACCAAGACUACGAUGUCUAGGGGUUCUGAGAGGAUGAUCCCCCACACUGGUACUGAGACACGGACCAGACUCCUACGGGAGGCAGCAGUGAGGAAUAUUGGUCAAUGGGCGCAAGCCUGAACCAGCCAUCCCGCGUGAAGGAUGAAUGUACUAUGUAUUGUAAACUUCUUUUCUGUACCAAGAAUGGGCACUACGUGUAGUGUUAUGACGGUAGUACAGGAAUAAGCAUCGGCUAACUCCGUGCCAGCAGCCGCGGUAAUACGGAGGAUGCGAGCGUUAUCCGGAUUCAUUGGGUUUAAAGGGUGCGUAGGCGGCUGUUUAAGUCAGUGGUGAAAUCCUGCGGCUCAACCGUAGAACUGCCAUUGAUACUGAAUAGCUUGAAUACAAUUGAGGUAGGCGGAAUGAGUAGUGUAGCGGUGAAAUGCUUAGAUAUUACUCAGAACACCUAUUGCGAAGGCAGCUUACCAAACUGUUAUUGACGCUGAUGCACGAAAGCGUGGGGAGCGAACAGGAUUAGAUACCCUGGUAGUCCACGCCGUAAACGAUGUUCACUCGCUGUAUGCAAUACACCGUAUGCGGCCAAGCGAAAGUAUUAAGUGAACCACCUGGGGAGUACGUCGGCAACGGUGAAACUCAAAGGAAUUGACGGGGGCCCGCACAAGCGGAGGAACAUGUGGUUUAAUUCGAUGAUACGCGAGGAACCUUACCUGGGCUUAAAUGUAGAUUGCAUGUCGUAGAAAUACGCUUCCCUUCGGGGCUAUUUACAAGGUGCUGCAUGGUUGUCGUCAGCCCGUGCCGUGAGGUGUCGGGUUAAGUCCCAUAACGAGCGCAACCCCUAUCGUUAGUUGCCAUCAGGUAAUGCUGGGAACUCUAGCGAGACUGCCACCGUAAGGUGAGAGGAAGGUGGGGAUGACGUCAAAUCAGCACGGCCCUUAUGUCCAGGGCUACACACGUGUUACAAUGGCCGGUACAAAGGGCAGCUACACCGCGAGGUGAUGCUAAUCUCAAAAGCCGGUCUCAGUUCGGAUCGGAGUCUGCAACUCGACUCCGUGAAGUUGGAUUCGCUAGUAAUCGUAGAUCAGCCAUGCUACGGUGAAUACGUUCCCGGGCCUUGUACACACCGCCCGUCAAACCAUGGAAGCUGGGGGGACCUGAAGUCUGUCGCCGAAAGGAGCGGCCUAGGGUAAAAAAAAAU